UCCAGAUGAAACGACUGUCAGCUAUGGAACCAUUAAUGCCACCACAGAACAACCUACCAAAGCUCCCGAUCAGAUAGACGCGGCCGUGAUCCAAGACAUCGUAAACGAGACCCGAAGCUUCAAGGAGAAAGCAUGCAACAGAUCUGCUGCUGGAGGACCGGACAAGAAGGACACGCAGGCUGCGCUCCCAGACAUUGUAAAGAAGAUUCAAAGCUUCAAGGACAAAGCAUGCAGCAGUUCUGAUGCUGGAAUUGCAAUGGAGG